rnacentral:tRNA from 1 species
UGUAGCUCAGUGGUAGAGCACUUGCCUAGCAUGCAUGAGGCACUGGGUUAGAUCCUCAGCA